rnacentral:rRNA from 1 species
AGAGUUUGAUCCUGGCUCAGGACGAACGCUGGCGGUGUGCUUCACACAUGCAAGUCGAACGGUAGCAAUACAGUGGCGGACGGGUGAGUAACACGUGGGAAUCUGCCUUUAGAUGGGGGAUAACUAGCCGAAAGGUUAGCUAAUACCGCAUAUGCCGAAAGGUGAAAGGAGCAAUCCACCUGAAGAUGAGCCUGCGUCCGAUUAGCUAGUUGGUAGGGUAAAAGCCUACCAAGGCGACGAUCGGUAGCUGGUCUGAGAGGAUGAUCAGCCACAAUGGAACUGAGACACGGUCCAUACUCCUACGGGAGGCAGCAGUGGGGAAUUUUACGCAAUGGGCGAAAGCCUGACGUAGCGACACCGCGUGAGCGACGAAGCCCUUUGGGGUGUAAAGCUCUGUCGGCUGGAACGAAAAAAAUGACGGUACCAGCAAAGGAAGCAUCGGCUAACUACGUGCCAGCAGCCGCGGUAAGACGUAGGAUGCAAGCAUUGUCCGGAUUUAUUGGGCGUAAAGAGUUCGUAGGUGGUUUGUUAAGUCUGAUGUUAAAGACCGGAGCUCAACUUCGGAACUGCAUUGGAUACUGGCAGACUAGAGUAUGGUAGAGGCAAGCGGAAUUCCCAGUGUAGCGGUGAAAUGCGUAGA